rnacentral:rRNA from 1 species
GACGAACGCUGGCGGCGUGCUUAACACAUGCAAGUCGAACGGUAAGGCCCUUCGGGGUACACGAGUGGCGAACGGGUGAGUAACACGUGGGUGAUCUGCCCUGCACUUCGGGAUAAGCCUGGGAAACUGGGUCUAAUACCGGAUAGGACCACUGCCUGCAUGGGUGGUGGUGGAAAGCUUUUGCGGUGUGGGACGGGCCCGCGGCCGAUCAGCUUGUUGGUGGGGUGAUGGCCUACCAAGGCGACGACGGGUAGCCGGCCUGAGAGGGUGACCGGCCACACUGGGACUGAGAUACGGCCCAGACUCCUACGGGAGGCAGCAGUGGGGAAUAUUGCACAAUGGGCGCAAGCCUGAUGCAGCGACGCCGCGUGAGGGAUGACGGCCUUCGGGUUGUAAACCUCUUUCAGCACCGACGAAGCGCAAGUGACGGUAGGUGCAGAAGAAGGACCGGCCAACUACGUGCCAGCAGCCGCCGUAA